rnacentral:tRNA from 1 species
UACUCGCUUGGUGAAAAUGGUAAACACGAUGGGUUUAAAAUCCAUUUCUUUUAGAUUAUUGGUUCAAUUCCAAUAGCGAGUAA